ensembl:lncRNA
GUAACAAGUUGACAAGUGGGUGUGUGCAUGUGCGCAUGUGUGUGGGUGUGUGAUUGUGUGCAGCAGCAAAGCCUUAAACAUGGACAUUUCUAUGAAACGUGCUGGCUGGUAAAGAAAAAGUGGGAAUGUGUUGGAGGGACUUCUGAAGAAUUUGAAAUAAUAGUAUCCUUUUUCUUAAUCCGACAAUUAAUGGGAUCUCCUGUACUUAUUGAUAAUUUAUUCCUCCUUCCACCAACAAUAAGCGAAAACAGUAAUGAGAAAAUAAUGUAGACAUUUGGUGCGCAGCAGGAAGCCCCACCCCUCAUUUAACCCGUGAUAACAUUUUUAUCUAUGAAGCAGAAGGUGGUGGACAAACGGUAACAACACGCCCUCCAGUCAACCAGAAAGGUGUGGAUGUACUUUACAAAGUACUGCAUGUAGUGCUUUAGCAGUAGUACUACACAUUAAAAAAGAAAAGGACAACAAUAGACAGAAUGUGGAGGAGGAAGGAUUAUCAAAUCGACUGUUGAAAGUCUGGGGACUUACAUGACUUUCAUCUGACAAAAAGUACUUUUUCAUCUGGCUGACAUACAGUAGUGACAUGUACAAAGCUCUGAGCUACGUACAUCACAUCUGAUGUGAGCUAUCUAAACAAUAAAACCACUAGUUGGGGAUGCAACAUAUUCCACAUGGGGAUUACAAUAACCGCAAUCUGUGAUUUGGAUUCAGACCAAACGUUUUUGAAUCCUGUACCGAUUGUUGAUGAAACCAACAUAAAACAAGGUUUUAGUAACACAAAUACAGUCAAAAAUUGGACAUCAUUUCUCAUCAAAUUCAAAGAGAAAGUGUGUCUGGUACGGUACAUCAAAACAUCUCCACUGCAGAGCUUCUGCUCACAAUUACAAUUACAAAGUAACCUGGAUUUAAAUCCACCUCUGUAAUUUAAGUAACGUACUUAGGGCCAAUACCAUAUGAUAAAUCAAUCUUUUUUUCACGGCGCCACUGUGUUGGCAUACAUUGGAAUGAAUGGGGCUGCUGAAAGCUGUCUGAAUAACAAUUUAGGGCCCAAGCAUCUAAUGAUCUAACGAUUAUUAUUAGGACCGAGAGCCCUAUCACACCGUGUUCUGAAAGAUUAUUGUUCACCACUACAAUUGCACAUUUGAGAACUUUGGCAGGUUCAAAAACUCUAAAUUUGGCUUGCACAUCUGAACUGUGAAGAAUUUUGAUAGAGUCGGAGUUGCGUAUUAGGGUAUCAAGAAAUGGCUCUAUGUCGCCCCCCAAAUAAUUUGGCACUUUUGCCCAUUAGCAACGAUGGUUUUCGCAGACUUCUCCCAGAAGCUGAGUCUGAUUCUCACAAAACUUCAUGGUUCAAUGGCAUUUAAAGUUAUCAGAGGCCUGUUGAUAUCUCAUUGGGGUUAGAGGUUUUGGACCUAUGAACUUCUGAGGGGUGUGGCCUAAUCUGAAAGACGCAAAACUUCCAAAUGACUUUUCUUGUCCUCACCAAAUCUGUAGCAUAUGUCAACAUGACACGAGUUGGGAGGGGGAAUGUUUUGUUCGAGGACAUAUACACAAAAUAAGAGAAAAUGUAGAAAUAAAUAUUUAUAAAACAAUACAUUUAUAAAUAAAUAAUAACCAGACAGCUAAAACUUUAACUGGACAAGAUCCAAUAAAGGAACUUUUACUCAAACGUUUUCACACACAAUACACAUUUAGGGACACUACAUAACCAACCUACCGUGUUGAAGACUUUACACAGGCAGCUGAUUCCCACAGGCCUCAGUAAAGUCCACUAGUUAGAGGGGGAUCCCCUGUCCAUGAAGACAUGUGUGGUCCCUCCAUCAUCCUUUUCUCCCUCCCCCUCCAUGGCACUGUUUCACUGGCUGAGGCUCCCCUCCAACAAUCAGGGCCUUCAUGGGGGCCAUAAUGACAAAAUGAAAGCCAGUUGUGAGUCUGUGGAGGUUUUAAUGACUUUCAGAGCUGCUGUGGAAAUUCUGGGCUCAGUCCAAACACUCACUGCCGUGCUGAGAGACAAAGAAACUCAUAGGAGCAUUGCAGGGUUGAUGCUGAGGUUUUUCUUGCAGCAGAACUUUUCUAGUGUCUGUUUAUGUUGUCAUUAUUCAUGGUUUUAUUGGAAAUGGAGAGUGUGAUGAAGAAAGGUAGUACAGAACAGUUGUGCACAAAAAACUUUUUUUUAAAGCCAGAGAUGUGAUCAAAACGGAUGGCUAAGAUACAUUGGCAAUAUCGAAGCAAAAAGAUUGCAAGAUCAAUUGCUCAUAUUUGUUAUUGACUUUGUGUUGAGGCACACAAACGACAGGAGCGUCCUGCCAAUGGACUGGAAGAUGAAGCUGUGAUCUGUUUUUUUGGACCAGCCCUGCUGCUGGAAAACAGGAAAAUGUUGUAGAUAUUUUUAUUCAGCUAGCAGUUUAAAGUCAGAUUUAAAUUUAAAACAAACAGUGGGGCAUCUCAAUUUUUUACCAUUGGAUGACAAAAUUUAUUAUGGCCAUUCGUGAGAUAAGUGCUGUGCAGCCAUUGAUUAAUGCAUUCUUUCCUUUAACAUCAAUGUUCUUGGAAAGAAGAAGACAUUUUUAGUAGUAUAUUACACAUACAAGAAAUUGUUCCCAUUGGUCCCACGGAGUGGGAGCAGUGGGCUGCCGUAAGGGUGCCCAGCGAGCAGUUAGGGGUUAGGUGUCGUGCUCAGGGACACUUCAACACGGGACAUGGGGCAGCCAGGAUUCGAGCCAACCUUGCGGUUCCUGGCGCACCCACUCUACUCCAUGCGCCACGGUCGCCCUCUAAAAGAGGUGCUUCCAAACAUUUAAUAUUACAAUUCAAUGUGAGUUUUAGUCCGAAAUAUGUAUAGGCUCCGAAAACAUUGGAUCCAAUAUUUUCCACAAUGCAAUUAGCUACAUGCAUUAACUACAUGCACCAAGUUAGAUGCUGUUGGAGUGGAACAGAUUCUAGCAGGCCUACCCAUCUCAGCCAUGGAGAGACAUGGUAGCAGAGAGAGGGAAAGAGGCUCAACGAGACUGGGGUUCGAUAGUGUCACCAUUCAGAUCAAAUAUCAAACAAGGCAAAGCCAGCUCUCCCCUCUAGGCCGGCUGGAAUAAGUGCGCUGAAGUGAAAUGGUUUUUUUUAGCUCUAGGAGUUCAGGUUGGGAGGUCAGGUGUAGCCUAACAAAUACAUGUGCUAAUGUUUUGGUAUUUUACUGCGUUCACACGCAGCUUUGUGCAUUGACUGGGUUUGUUGGACAGCAUAGAAUUGAGAACUAAUCUUGUACAAGUUAACCUGAUUUCUGUACCUUUACACUGAAAAAAGACCUCUUCAAAGUCAACGAAUAGAAGGCGAUUUGGAGUCACCAAUUAACCUGAUCCCCAAAGCAUGUCGUUAGACUGUGGGAGGAAGCCACAGUACCCGGACAGAACCCAGGCAGACAUGGGAUGAACAUGUAGCCUCCUAAAGGCCGCUAGGUGGAGUCAAACCCAGGAUCGUCUUGCUGAGAGGCGACAGCGCUAACCACCACACCACCUGCCGCUCCUGAGCUACUUCCAUCAUUCUAGGUAUAUUUGAAUGGACUCAGGACGCUGUGCAGCACCUCCUCCGCCUCCCUCAGGUUUCCGCCAGUGCCACUGAACAUUCAAUAGACUUUCGUAUAUUGGCCAGAGUCCGGGAGAGAGCGCUGAAGGGGGUUUAUCUCAACAGUCUUGGGGACGGAUGGAAUGAUGAGCUAGCCUUUUAGAGGCUGCCUAACACUAGUGGACCUUAUUGCUCUCACAAUCCAACUGGAUACUUGGAUGCGGCAGCGUCGGAGAGCCGAACUACAGGGUUCCAUCACCAGUUCAUUCACAGAGUGGCCGAUCCCCUCCAGCCAGAAGAAACUCCAGGAGUUCCUUGGCUUUGCAAAUUUCUACCGUUCAUUCGAAACUAUAGCCAGACGGCGUUGCCCCUAACUCGACUCACCUCCCCUACGGUGGAAUUUUCGUGGAUCCCCAAAGCCUGCCUGUAACGGAAUGGUUCACUUCAGCCCCCAUCCCCGCCCUGCCAGACGAAAGUCGCCAGUUUUUGGUCAAGUGGGACGCCUCCGACACCAGCGUAAAGGCAGUGUUAUCCCAACACUCAACCCCUGACUCUAAGCUCUGCCUGUGUGCUUUUUUCUACCGCCCCCUUUACCUGUACGUGCGUCACUGGCUCUGGAGGACUGAAGACAUUGGCUGGAGGGGUCAGUCCACACUUCCAUUGUGUGGACCGACCACCGAAAUCUUGAGCCUCACACAGACCUCGUGUUGGAUUACUACAACCGGUUCCUGUUCCCCACAUGCCCUGGUCGCACAUGGCACUGGACUUUGUCACAGGAUUUCCCUCGUUGGAUAACAAUACAGUUAUGCUGAUCCUUGUGGAAGACGAUUGCCAUCCCGUAUGUUCAGAGCAAUUUUCGCUGAUGUUCUACUUCGGGAACAAACAGCUAGCCGACCGCCGCAGCACACCCGUCCCCACAUACCUCCCCAGCCAACGUGUCUGGCUUUCCGCUAAGGACAUACCCCUGCGCACUGAAUCUAAGAAACUCUCUCCCAGAUACAUUGGUCCUUUCCCCAUUACUUCAAUUGUCAACCCACUCACAGUUAAAUUGUGAUUGCUCUUGCAAUCCCUGAGGAUCCACCAGUGUUCCAUGUGUCCCUUCUGAAGCCGUCAUCGACGUCGCCUGGAUGUCCGCCGGCAAGACAGGGGUCUAAUACCCUGUAGUUUGGUGUCCUCCGAGUCCCGCCCAUUGCCCCACCUUCCUCCGUUGCCGCAGCUGUGUCUCAUCUCCCGGCUCCGUGAUUUUUACACCCAAAUCAUUUUCCAUCCUGUG